UUUUCUGAGAACGCUUCUCAAUCGAAGUCCCAAGGAAAAGCUUUGGUUCCUCAUCAUGCUCUGCUCUAACCGGCCAACUCGACGGCUACAAUUGAUUUCUAAUAUAUUUCGCCGCGAAUUUAAACCGCCACCACCGUCUUCAUUGAUGAUGAGACUGACGUUAUAAAGUUGAUGAGAGAGAAGAGCAAGAACUAGAAGAAUAAAGUUGUUGCGGUGACAACGCUGCCAUGGAUGGAAUUGAAAAGCUGUGCUUUUUUUCUAGAAAAAAAUUUAGGUUAUAAUUGUGUUUAAAACCUACUAAAAUUUGUUGAUGUUUUAUAUGAUAUUAUGAACUGAUUAAUCUAUAUAUAAUAGCAAACCUAAUUUUGUUUUCUUAUGACAUCAGCAUUUUUUUAUAGGAAAAAAAAAAGUUUGAUCUAACGUUUGAGUUUAUCCCUACUUUUAAUCUAACGGACACGAUUUAUUUUAAUCACAAAAUCUUGCGUCAUGUAAUUGUUUCAACAGAUUGAUGCACCUCUUCUCUGAUCGACGCACCUUUUUACGGUGACCCCUUUUGAUACGGGAACGACGCACCUUUUAAACUGAUUAUUAGAUUGAAGUAUUGGUUAGAGUCGUUAUUUUUUUUCUGAGAACGCUUCUCAAUCGAAGUCCCAAGGAAAAGCUUUGGUUCCUCAUCAUGCUCUGCUCUAACCGGCCAACUCGACGGCUACAAUUGAUUUCUAAUAUAUCUCGCCGCGAAUCUAAACCGCCACCACCGUCUUCAUUGAUGAUGAGACUGACGUUAUAAAGUUGAUGAGAGAGAAGAGCAAGAAGUAGAAGAAGAAAGUUGUUGCGGUGACAACGCUGCCAUGGAUGGAAUUGAAAAGCUCAAUUUCGAGAAAAUAAGAUACGGAGGAUAGAUCAUGUCAUCUGAUGUUGAGGCUCAAAUACGACGCCAAUUUGGAAGCUUCGUCUGUUAAAUCUUGUGCUGUUUCUUGGGUCGGAAGCAACCGGGGCAGACGUCAAGC
rnacentral:lncRNA from 1 species